AACGAUGGAUACUAGGUGUAGGGGGUGUCGACUCCCCCUGUGCCGUCGCUAACGCAAUAAGUAUCCCACCUGGGGAGUACGACCGCAAGGUUGAAACUCAAAGGAAUUGACGGGGGCCCGCACAAGCAGUGGAGUAUGUGGUUUAAUUCGAAGCAACGCGAAGAACCUUACCAGGGCUUGACAUACUGCUGAUCGGUCAGGAGACUGACCUUUCCUUCGGGACAGCGGAUACAGGUGGUGCAUGGUUGUCGUCAGCUCGUGUCGUGAGAUGUUGGGUUAAGUCCCGCAACGAGCGCAACCCCUAUUGUUAGUUGCCAGUAUUAAGUUGGGCACUCUAGCGAGACUGCCGGUGAUAAAUCGGAGGAAGGUGGGGAUGACGUCAAAUCAUCAUGCCCCUUAUGUCCUGGGCUACACACGUACUACAAUGGCUGAUACAGCGCGAAGCAAUACCGCGAGGUGGAGCAAAUCGCCAAAAUCAGUCCCAGUUCAGAUUGCAGGCUGCAACUCGCCUGCAUGAAGUCGGAAUUGCUAGUAAUGGCAGGUCAGCAUACUGCCGUGAAUACGUUCCCGGGCCUUGUACACACCGCCCGUCACACCACGAGAGUUUGUAACACCCGAAGUCGGUGAGGUAACCUUUACAGGAGCCAGCCGCCGAAGGUGGGACAGAUGAUUGGGGUGAAGUCGUAACAAGGUAACCGUA
rnacentral:rRNA from 1 species